GCCGUUGGCGACAACCAGACUUGCCGAUUCUGGACGAAUCCUUGGAUCGAUGGCCAGGCCAUCUCCGAUAUCGCCCCAUCCCUCCUUACCCUUGUGCCCCGUCGACGGUGCAAUCGCACGGUGGCGGAGGGUCUCCACGACCGUAGUUGGGUUGCUGACCUUCACAGCGCUCCGACGCCAGGUGCGAUGCUCGAGUACGUGCAACUCUGGAGGCGGCUACGACAUCUCACGCUAUCCAGCUCCCCCGACCGCCUCUCCUGGCGAUGGACCACGGACGACAAAUAUUCCGCCUGAUCAUGCUACCAGGCAUUGUCCGCUGGAUCUACGACAACCCCAUUCCGGCGCCUGACUUGGAGAUGCUGGGCACCCCUUCGUGUCAAGAUGUUCACCUGGCUGGUCGACCUCGGCCGUUGCUCGCCUGGCCAGGCACGGUCUGCCGCACAACAACCGUUGCGCCCUCUGUGA
rnacentral:rRNA from 1 species